AACACUAGUAUGUAACUGGUAAUGUAUUAAGUACAAUUUUCUAAAGUUAGACGAUAAAAGAAUGUUAAAUGCAAAACUGUGGGAGAGGAAGAUUGGUAGCGGAUCCGAUGAAUUGUAGGCGUUGUGAAGUCAGAGUCUUACGACUGAGGGAAACAUAGUCUUCUUGAAAACUUGCUCUUUACUGAUAAGCCAAACUAUGUUUUCCCACACGUUUGCUACCUAAUCAUGCGACCAAAAAUCAGUUUUAGCUAAGAUGGGGUCUCCAUCUUUUCUACAGGCGACAUGGUCUCCACCUACAACAUUAAACACAACACAUAAUAAACUUAUAGUUUAACUGCUACAAUUGACAUUAACAUUUAACUAAAUAGAUAUCGUCUAUAGCUAUUAAUACUUGACACAACAAAAAAUAUAAACAUAAUCCCAGUAUAUAGAAAUAGUAUUGCAGAAAGUUAAACAGUUGGGUUUCUAUACAUACUGUAUAUAACAGCUACACAACGCUGUAACGUCUAACUAGAUUGUUAUCGUCUACAACUAUUAUUACUGAAUACACU
rnacentral:lncRNA from 1 species